rnacentral:lncRNA from 1 species
UUACAAUCUAAGAUCGGUUUGCAUUGUCCGCUGUCCAUUAACCAUCUUGUGCCUCUACUCCAAGUUUGGCAUCAACUACACUGGUCUCUUCUCCGACUUGAUGCCUCCGGGCUGCCGCUCGCGCACCCAUCUACACGUCCCACUGCAUUGGCCAGCAUUGCCAUGAUCCAAUUGGGCUCCUCAACCAACAACCAGCCUCCAUCCAUGCAUGCCGAGUGCCUAACAUGCAACAUGCUGCCCCUCAAGCACCAUAUGUGUGUACGUGGCAGAUCAACUUAU